rnacentral:rRNA from 1 species
UGGGGAAUUUUGGACAAUGGGCGAAAGCCUGAUCCAGCAAUGCCGCGUGUGUGAAGAAGGCCUUCGGGUUGUAAAGCACUUUUGUCCGGAAAGAAAUCCUUGGCUCUAAUACAGUCGGGGGAUGACGGUACCGGAAGAAUAAGCACCGGCUAACUACGUGCCAGCAGCGCGGUAAUACGUAGGGUGCAAGCGUUAAUCGGAAUUACUGGGCGUAAAGCGUGCGCAGGCGGUUUGCUAAGACCGAUGUGAAAUCCCCGGGCUCAACCUGGGAACUGCAUUGGUGACUGGCAGGCUAGAGUAUGGCAGAGGGGGGUAGAAUUCCACGUGUAGCAGUGAAAUGCGUAGAGAUGUGGAGGAAUACCGAUGGCGAAGGCAGCCCCCUGGGCCAAAUACUGACGCUCAUGCACGAAAGCGUGGGGAGCAAACAGGAUUAGAUACCCUGGUAGUCCACGCCCUAAACGAUGUCAACUAGUUGUUGGGGAUUCAUUUCCUUAGUAACGUAGCUAACGCGUGAAGUUGACCGCCUGGGGAGUACGGUCGCAAGAUUAAAACUCAAAGGAAUUGACGGGGU